rnacentral:rRNA from 1 species
GUGGGGAAUAUUGCGCAAUGGGCGAAAGCCUGACGCAGCGACGCCGCGUGGGUGAUGAAGGCCUUCGGGUCGUAAAGCCCUGUCGGGAGGGAAGAAAUCUUGGUGGUCGAACAGGCCAUCAACUUGACGGUACCUCUUAAGGAAGCACCGGCUAACUCCGUGCCAGCAGCCGCGGUAAUACGGAGGGUGCAAGCGUUGUUCGGAAUCACUGGGCGUAAAGCGCGUGUAGGCGGCCUUUUAAGUUUGAUGUGAAAGCCCGGGGCUCACCCCCGGAAGUGCAUCGGAUACUGAGAGGCUCGAGUACCGGAGAGGAGGGUGGAAUUCCUGGUGUAGCGGUGAAAUGCGUAGAUAUCAGGAGGAACACCGGUGGCGAAGGCGGCCCUCUGGACGGAUACUGACGCUGAGACGCGAAAGCGUGGGGAGCAAACAGGAUUAGAUACCCCAGUAGUCC